rnacentral:rRNA from 1 species
UGCAUAUCAAUAAGCGCGGAGGAAAAGAAACCAACAGGGAUUGCCUUAGUAACGGCGAGUGAAGCGGCAAAAGCUCAAAUUUGAAAUCUAGCACCUUCGGUGUUCGAGUUGUAAUUUGAAGAUGGUAACCUUGGGUUUGGCUCUUGUCUAUGUUCCUUGGAACAGGACGUCAUAGAGGGUGAGAAUCCCGUCUGAUGAGAUGCCCAUUCCUAUGUAAGGUGCUAUCGAAGAGUCGAGUUGUUUGGGAAUA